rnacentral:rRNA from 1 species
GCUAAUACCGGAUAAUAUUUUGAACCGCAUGGUUCAUAAGUGAAAGACGGUCUUGCUGUCACUUAUAGAUGGAUCCGCGCUGCAUUAGCUAGUUGGUAAGGUAACGGCUUACCAAGGCAACGAUGCAUAGCCGACCUGAGAGGGUGGUCGGCCACACUGGAACUGAGACACGGUCCAG